AAGAAAGAACCAAGAACUGCUAACUCUUGACACCAUGCCUAAACACAU
rnacentral:tRNA from 1 species